GAUGAACGCUAGCGGCAGGCCUAACACAUGCAAGUCGAGGAGUAACAGGGAGUGCUUGCACUUCGCUGACGACCGGCGCACGGGUGCGUAACGCGUAUAGAACCUACCUUUUACAGAGGGAUAGCCUUUAGAAAUGAAGAUUAAUACCUCAUAGUACUGAUUAUUGGCAUCAAUGAUUAGUUAAAGUUUCGGCGGUAAAAGAUGGCUAUGCGUUCUAUUAGUUAGUUGGUAAGGUAACGGCUUACCAAGACAUCGAUAGAUAGGGGUCCUGAGAGGGAGAUCCCCCACACUGGUACUGAGACACGGACCAGACUCCUACGGGAGGCAGCAGUGAGGAAUAUUGGACAAUGGGCGAGAGCCUGAUCCAGCCAUGCCGCGUGCAGGAAGACGGCCCUAUGGGUUGUAAACUGCUUUUAUACAGGAAGAAACCACUCUACGUGUAGAGUGCUGACGGUACUGUAAGAAUAAGCACCGGCUAACUCCG
rnacentral:rRNA from 1 species